GAUGAACGCUGGCGGCGUGCCUAAUACAUGCAAGUCGAGCGAACGGACGAGAAGCUUGCUUCUCUGAUGUUAGCGGCGGACGGGUGAGUAACACGUGGAUAACCUACCUAUAAGACUGGGAUAACUUCGGGAAACCGUAGCUAAUACCGGAUAAUAUUUUGAACCGCAUGGUUCAAAAGUGAAAGACGGUCUUGCUGUCACUUAUAGAUGGAUCCGCGCUGCAUUAGCUAGUUGGUAAGGUAACGGCUUACCAAGGCAACGAUGCAUAGCCGACCUGAGAGGGUGAUCGGCCACACUGGAACUGAGACACGGUCCAGACUCCUACGGGAGGCAGAAGUAGGGAAGCUUCCGCAAUGGGCGAAAGCCUGACGGAGCAACGCCGCGUGAGUGAUGAAGGUCUUCGGAUCGUAAAACUCUGUUAUUAGGGAAGAACAUAUGUGUAAGUAACUGUGCACAUCUUGACGGUACCUAAUCAGAAAGCAACGGCUAACUACGUG
rnacentral:rRNA from 1 species